UUAUGGCUCAGAGCGAACGCUGGCGGCAGGCCUAACACAUGCAAGUCGAGCGCCCCGCAAGGGGAGCGGCAGACGGGAGAGUAACACGUGGGAACGUACCCUUCAGUUCGGAACAACCCAGGGAAACUUGGGCUAAUACCGAAUACGUCCGUAAGGAGAAAGAUUUAUCGCUGAAGGAUCGGCCCGCGUCUGAUUAGCUAGUUGGUGAGGUAACGGCUCACCAAGGCGACGAUCAGUAGCUGGUCUGAGAGGAUGAUCAGCCUCACUGGGACUGAGACACGGCCCAGACUCCUACGGGAGGCAGCAGUGGGGAGUAUUGGACAAUGGGCGCAAGCCUGAUCCCAGCCAUGCCGCGUGGAUGAUGAAGGCCCUAGGGUUGUAAAGUCCUUUCGGCGGGGAAGAUAAUGACGGUACCCGCAGAAGAAGCCCCGGCUAACUUCGUGCCAGCAGCAGC
rnacentral:rRNA from 1 species